GGAUGUGAGGGUGAUCUGGCUGUCACACCUAUUGCUCCAUUGAAGGAUGGCUAGGGCUGAUUCUGCUGACCAUGCUGGCUAGGCAGAUGUCCCCUUCAUUCCUCAUUGCUCCUUGUGUGUCCCUCCUAAAGUUGCAUGCUCAAAGUCCCCAGUGGAAGAGGGUUUACGAGCAGCUGUGCUCCCCUGCUAGAACCUCCAGACAGGCUCAUAGUUACCAGCUGAAUGACCCGGGCAAGUUACUUUAUCCUUCUAUGCCUUGGAG
ensembl:misc_RNA 7SK 7SK RNA